rnacentral:rRNA from 1 species
GAUGAACGCUGGCGGUGUGCCUAACACAUGCAAGUCGAACGAAGCCCCUUUCCUGAUUCUUCGUUUCGGAGUGUGGGGACUGAGUGGCGGACGGGUGCGUAACGCGCGGGUAACCUGCCCUGUAUAGGGGGAUAACAGCUGGAAACGGCCGCCAUUACCGCAUCAGCGCACGAGGAGACAUCUCCUUGCCUGAAAAACUCCGGUGGUACAGUAUGGGGCUGCGUCUGAUUAGCUGGUUGGCAGGGUAACGGCCUACCAAGGCAACGAUCAGUAGCCGGUCUGAGAGGAUGAGCGGCCACAUUGGAACUGAGACACGGUCCAGACUCCUACGGGAGGCAGCAGUGGCGAAUAUAGCAAAAUGGGGGGAACGCUGAUGCAGCUACGCCGCGUGAGUGAAGAAGUAGUUCGGGAAGUAAAGCUCUAUCAGCAGGGAAGGUACUGACGGUACCUGACGAAGAAGCACCGGCUAAAUACGUG